ACGUCAAGGCCAAGGAGAUGUGGUGAAACCUUAUGUGAGGAUGUGGGUUUUGAACCCCGAAUUAACCUGAUUUGUUUGAGAUGGUCUCAGGGGAUCCCAUUUACAAAAGAGCUUUCCUGUACAACACAUAAAUCACCCUUUUACUCAAUCUCUCUUGCCCCUACUGUUUUAUAUUAGCUUUUUUUUUCUUCCUUACUUGUCCUAAGAUGACUUUCUGUCCUGUACAAUUACUGAUUAUCAGGUGGAUGGAGCUGGGUUUCAGGGGAUUGGAUGCUGUCUUUAAGUUAUCCUGGAAGUUGGCCUUAUUUCUGUCUGUCUUGUGAUGUAUACACAAUGAGAGACAUGUGUUAUCAUUUACAAACAUUUUGAGUGGGAUGACUUGAAACAUCUUGUGUACUGCUUGAUUACAUUUGGAUUAAAAGCAGCGGCCAACAAACUGAAACUACUGUUGAGUUUUGCUGUAGGGGGACUACUUGGGGAUGUUUUUCUACAUCUGUUACCAGAGGCCUGGGCAGCUGUUGAUAAAGGUGGACAACAUGAUCAUUUUGGACACACAAAGAUUGGACUUUGGGUACUAGCAGGAAUCCUCUCAUUUCUGAUCAUUGAAAAAGUAUUUGCCAAAGAAGGAGAAUUUGAUCAU